GACGAACGCUGGCGGCGUGCUUAACACAUGCAAGUCGAGCGGAAAGGCCACUUCGGUGGUACUCGAGCGGCGAACGGGUGAGUAACACGUGAGUAAUCUGCCCCUGGCUUUGGGAUAGCCACCGGAAACGGUGAUUAAUACCGGAUACGACCACUUCUCGCAUGGGAUGGUGGUGGAAAGUUUUUUCGGCCAGGGAUGUGCUCGCGGCCUAUCAGCUUGAUGGUGAGGUAAGGGCUCACCAUGGCUUCGACGGGUAGCCGGCCUGAGAGGGUGACCGGUCACACUGGGACUGAGACGCGGCCCAGACUCCUACGGGAGGCAGCAGUGGGGAAUAUUGGACAAUGGGCGGAAGCCUGAUUCAGCAACGCCGCGUGAGGGAUGACGGCCUUCGGGUUGUGAACCUCUUUCAGCAGAGACGAAGCGCAAGUGACGGUACCUGCAGAAGAAGCACCGGCCAACUACGUGCCAGCCGCCGCGGUAA
rnacentral:rRNA from 1 species